rnacentral:lncRNA from 1 species
CCAUCUCUUACCCAUUCUCUCGCCUCUGUCCUCACUGUCUCCUUCCCAUCUCUUCGUCUUUCCCAUUCCUCCUCUGUCCUCACUGUCUCCUUCCCAA